ensembl:lncRNA
ACACAGAGGCACACUACAACUCUCAUUCUCCGUAUAUGUAUAUCAACACAGAGGCACACCACAACUCUCACUCUCCGUAUAUGUAUAUCAACACAGAGGCACACUACAACUCUCACUCUCUCCGUAUAUGUGUAUCAACACAGAGGCACACCACAACUCUCACUCUCCGUAUAUGUAUAUCAACACAGAGGCACACUACAACUCUCUCUCUCCAGUGGCUGUAUGUGGUAUAUGUGUAUCAACACAGAGGCACACUACAACUCUCUCACUCUCCGUAUAUGUGUAUCAACACAGAGGCACACUAGAACUCUCACUCUCCGUAUAUGUAUAUCAGCACAGAGGCACACUACAACUCUCUCUCUCCAGUGGCUGUAUGUGGUAUAUGUGUAUCAACACAGAGGCACACUACAACUCUCACUCUCCGUAUAUGUGUAUCAACACAGAGGCACACUACAACUCUCACUCUCUCCGUAUAUGUAUAUGCAACACAGAGGCACACUACAACUCUCUCUCUCCAGUGGCUGUAUGUGGUAUAUGUCUGCAGGCUUAAAGGACUGCGCCUUUGUGUAUUAGGAUCACAACAUUAACAAAAUUAACAACAUUAACAACUUGCUUCUCCCAAAAAAUACUCUCAAUGAUGAAUGUCAAUGUGGGAAUGUUGAAAACCUCUCAAUGAUGAAUGUAAAUGUGGG